GGACUAUGUGUGUGUGUUUUCAGUACCCACACCCCCGAACCGAAGGGAUGUGCACUUCUCGACUGUCUGUACCUGGCCAGUGCAGAAACCAGCCGACUGAAGGGUAAUGUAUUUUCAGAUGAAUGCAGGCCCCUUUUAAGAAGUCAUGCAGCAGUUCUCCUGUCUAUACCUCUGAAAUCAUUGCUUUUUUCACUCCAGAUAAAAAAAAGGUGCCAAGUCUGAAUCCAAACCUGGAUUUCGCUGAAGUUUAGAGGUGCUCAGCUGUGGUUGGGUUCAAGACUAUAUCCAGUAUGUUUAUUGGAUUUUCCAUAAUAAAAGGACAGGCAGCAAGAGCUAUGUAAUGUCUUUAGUCAUUGCAGAGAGCACAAGGCUUCUAGAAUUCCUAGAGUUGACCAAACUCUUUGGCCCUGACUGGCAUCUUUUGAAAUGGAUUAUCCAAUUCAUCUCCAAAGAAAGAUGGAGAGAGGAAGAAGAAAAGAGAGCCUUUCAGGUACAACAAUGAAGAAGCCAGACUGUGCUGAUGGCUCAUCAACAAAUACAGUGGACCGUGGAAGAGCUUAGCCUUCCUGUGAACAUUUCAGCCAGCCUAUAAGUAAUGGCUGCUAUGACUCAGCUGAUCAUGUGACCAGACCAUGACACUGAACUCCAUUUUGGUGCCUGUAUUUUUCCACAAACUAGACUGGGAACUGAGUUUGGAACAAAAGGUUCCAACCAUAUGGAAAAGCUAUAAAAGAUGGGUUGUGAUAUCAUCUCUUGGCCUCACUCCCCACAUAAGAGACUCCUGGAAACACCUGAGGAACAAAGACUGAACUGGGGGAAGUGCUGGUCCCAGGCUAAAGGGAUUUCUAGCCUGUGUAUGGAAACUUGGUGGACUGCUUGUAUCAUCAGUCAGGGUGAGAAAUUGCUAAUUCAAAUCCUAUCCAUCUAGUUUCUAGUAUGUUAGACUUAGUUUGCAUUUUUGUUUAUUUGCUAGGUAAUCUGCUUUGAUCUGUCUGCUAUCAUGUAUAAUCACUUAAAAUCUAUCUUUCUGUAGUUAAUAAACUUGUUUUAUAUUUUUUAUCUAAAACAGUGUGCCUUUAAGUGAAGAGUCUGGGGAAAAUCUCAGCUCAGUUAACAAGGCCAGUGUGCAUUGUUCACUCCACAUUGAGGGAGGGGAAAACUGAGUAAUAAAUUCAUACUGGUUGGCCUUUUGACCAGGGCAGGGUGGUACGCUUCUGGGGUUCUAGGCUGGAAAGCUGGGAGUAUCUUGGCUGUAACCUCUCUAUUGUUGGUGCAUGCCGUGGCUGAUCAGAGCCUGCAUGUAACUGCAGCUGGGUGUGUCCCUGCCUGUGUGAAUGCUGGUGGGAUUGUAGGACUGGGAGCAAUCUUCAGCUUGUCACCCAGAACAGUGUGAGAGGGAGCCCAGGCUAGUGAGUCAGAGGGCUCAGUGGUACCCCAGCUACAGGUGGUUCCCAGGGGGAACCUGUCACAGAUAGAUCCUACAUUCAUGCUCCCCUUACAAGUCCCCAUUGUAGCAAUCUUCAUGGAAUUUGGAGGGAGGAGCACAGGUUGCUGGAGGGAAGAGGUUGGAGGAGGCACAGGAAGUCAGUCUGUUUGUCCAUGGCUAGAAUGCCUGCUACCGUUGUAGCACCUCUUUAAGUAGCUUUCUUAAAUAGCCAGUUUAGUUUUAGAAACAUGGAGAUUUCUUAUAUCACUACCCAGCAUGUGUUACAUGAAACACACAAACUUCCCUGAGAAGAGUGAACAUUCCCAAGCUAUAGUCCCACUGUGAUGGACCUGUUCAAAGCUGCUGGGCUGUGACUCCCCUAUGGCAAACAACAGGAGGUUUCCCAGAAAGAGAAGGUGCUGCAAAAGGCAAACUGGGGUGAAAAGGUGCUAGCAAUAGGUUAGUUUCAUCAGGGUUCCUCACAUCUGAAAUUCACUCCCCAAAAUUUUGUUAAUCUACAAGGUGACCAGCUACACCUAGGGUUAUAAUUGUUUUAACUUGCAUUGUCUUUGUUGGAGAGUGCAUUACAUUUAAAACAAACAAAUACAAUUAAAAAAUCCUGAAAGAUAUACAAAGUUGGGCAUCUUUCUAUGGAGCGUGGAACAUUUUUCCUAAUUUUUCUUUUACUAAAAGGUCUGGUUGCUACUGCAUAUGGUGCAGGUUGAAGUCUAGGGGCUUCCACAGCAGCCCACCCACUCACUCAUGUGUUGUAAAUUGCAAGAUUGGAGCAUAGGUUAUUAAAAAUGGCUUUUGAUGCUAAAAUGGAGAAGGCCAUACCUCAGUUUUUCUGUAU